ACUCGUUCACAGCGUUUUCAGCAUUCAGGUGAUCAUCAUCUAUUUCUGUUGUAUUGCAGCCAGCUAUUAUAAGGAUGAAUGCCAAACUUAAAGUGUUCUUAUUUACCCUUGUAUUACUGGCAAGUAUGAUUACCGAAGGUCAAAGCUUCAACAGCGCAUCUGCUCCAAAGGGCAAGCGAUCCACUAAACAGCUUUCGGAAGAGAGCAAUGUGCUACCUCUUGGAACAAGGAAUUUUCGACUGGCCCAAGAGGACUCUGACGUAGUACGUGUUCGAAGGAAUCACCUCUGUGAGCUUGCCAAGAGGACCUGUUGACGAUCAAUUUAACAAAAGAAGGACAAAGGCUGAAAUGAACUUGUUCUUGAAAAAACGUAUUCUCAAAUAAAAGAUGUAGUACUGCUAAAUAAAUUGAUGAAUUUCUAACUAAAUAAAAGAAAGAACCAUGGCGAAA